GACAGUGUAGCUCAGUUAGGAGAGCACUUGUCUAGCAUAUAGAAGGUCCUGGGUUUGAUUCCCAGAGAGUCA
rnacentral:tRNA from 1 species